rnacentral:rRNA from 1 species
GACGAACGCUGGCGGCGUGCUUAACACAUGCAAGUCGAACGAUGAAGCCGGAGCUUGCUCUGGUGAAUUAGUGGCGAACGGGUGAGUAACACGUGAGUAACCUGCCCUUGACUCUGGGAUAACUGCGGGAAACUGUAGCUAAUACCGGAUACGACCCUCGGAGGCAUCUCCUGGGGGUGGAAAGAAUUUCGGUCAAGGAUGGACUCGCGGCCUAUCAGCUAGUUGGUGAGGUAAAGGCUCACCAAGGCGACGACGGGUAGCCGGCCUGAGAGGGUGACCGGCCACACUGGGACUGAGACACGGCCCAGACUCCUACGGGAGGCAGCAGUGGGGAAUAUUGCACAAUGGACGAAAGUCUGAUGCAGCAACGCUGCGUGAAGGAUGAAGGUUUUCGGAUCGUAAACUUCUUUUAUCAGGGAAUAAUUAUGAAGGUACCUGAUGAAUAAGCACCGGCUAACUACGUGCCAGCCGCCGCCGUAA